CUUCGGGGGUCGUUGGUUGUUUUCUCUCUUUUACGGAGAGUUUGAUCCUGGCUCAGGACGAACGCUGGCGGCGUGCUUAACACAUGCAAGUCGAACGGUGAAGCCCAGCUUGCUGGGUGGAUCAGUGGCGAACGGGUGAGUAACACGUGAGCAACCUGCCCUCCACUUCGGGAUAAGCCUUGGAAACGGGGUCUAAUACCGGAUAUGAGCAUUCACCGCAUGGUGGGUGUUGGAAAGUUUUUCGGUGGGGGAUGGGCUCGCGGCCUAUCAGCUUGUUGGUGGGGUGAUGGCCUACCAAGGCGUCGACGGGUAGCCGGCCUGAGAGGGCGACCGGCCACACUGGGACUGAGACACGGCCCAGACUCCUACGGGAGGCAGCAGUGGGGAAUAUUGCACAAUGGGCGAAAGCCUGAUGCAGCGACGCCGCGUGAGGGAUGACGGCCUUCGGGUUGUAAACCUCUUUCAGCAGGGAAGAAGGCCUUCGGGUGGACGGUACCUGCAGAAGAAGCGCCGGCUAACUACGUGCCAGCAGCCGCGGUAAUACGUAGGGCGCAAGCGUUGUCCGGAAUUAUUGGGCGUAAAGAGCUCGUAGGCGGUUUGUCGCGUCUGGUGUGAAAUCCCGAGGCUCAACCUCGGGCUUGCAUCGGGUACGGGCAGACUAGAGUACUGUAGGGGAGACUGGAAUUCCUGGUGUAGCGGUGGAAUGCGCAGAUAUCAGGAGGAACACCGAUGGCGAAGGCAGGUCUCUGGGCAGUUACUGACGCUGAGGAGCGAAAGCAUGGGGAGCGAACAGGAUUAGAUACCCUGGUAGUCCAUGCCGUAAACGUUGGGCACUAGGUGUGGGGCUCAUUCCACGAGUUCCGUGCCGCAGCUAACGCAUUAAGUGCCCCGCCUGGGGAGUACGGCCGCAAGGCUAAAACUCAAAGGAAUUGACGGGGGCCCGCACAAGCGGCGGAGCAUGCGGAUUAAUUCGAUGCAACGCGAAGAACCUUACCAAGGCUUGACAUGCACCGGACGCUGCCAGAGAUGGUGGUUCCGCAAGGUCGGUGCACAGGUGGUGCAUGGUUGUCGUCAGCUCGUGUCGUGAGAUGUUGGGUUAAGUCCCGCAACGAGCGCAACCCUCGUCCCAUGUUGCCAGCGGGUUAUGCCGGGGACUCAUGGGAGACUGCCGGGGUCAACUCGGAGGAAGGCGGGGAUGACGUCAAAUCAUCAUGCCCCUUAUGUCUUGGGCUUCACGCAUGCUACAAUGGCCGGUACAGAGGGCUGCGAUACCGUAAGGUGGAGCGAAUCCCAAAAAGCCGGUCUCAGUUCGGAUUGGGGUCUGCAACUCGACCCCAUGAAGUCGGAGUCGCUAGUAAUCGCAGAUCAGCAACGCUGCGGUGAAUACGUUCCCGGGCCUUGUACACACCGCCCGUCAAGUCACGAAAGUUGGUAACACCCGAAGCUCAUGGCCCAACCGGUUUUCCGGGGGGAGUGGUCGAAGGUGGGACUGGCGAUUGGGACUAAGUCGUAACAAGGUAGCCGUACCGGAAGGUGCGGCUGGAUCACCUCCUUUCU
rnacentral:rRNA from 1 species